rnacentral:rRNA from 1 species
CAAACAGGAUUAGAUACCCUGGUAGUCCACGCCCUAAACGAUGUCGACUGGUUGUUGGGGGUUUGACACUCUCAGUAACGAAGCUAACGCGUGAAGUCGACCGCCUGGGGAGUACGGCCGCAAGGUUAAAACUCAAAGGAAUUGACGGGGACCCGCACAAGCGGUGGAUUAUGUGGAUUAAUUCGAUGCAACGCGAAAAACCUUACCUACCCUUGACAUGUCCGAGAGCCCGCAGAGAUGUGGGUGUGCCUGAAAGGGAAUCGGAACACAGGUGCUGCAUGGCUGUCGUCAGCUCGUGUCGUGAGAUGUUGGGUUAAGUCCCGCAACGAGCGCAACCCUUGUCAUUAGUUGCUACAUUCAGUUGGGCACUCUAAUGAGACUGCCGGUGACAAACCGGAGGAAGGUGGGGAUGACGUCAAGUCCUCAUGGCCCUUAUGGGUAGGGCUUCACACGUAAUACAAUGGCGCGUACAGAGGGUUGCCAAGGAGCGAUCUGGAGCCAAUCCCGUAAAGCGCGUCGUAGUCCGGAUUGCAGUCUGCAACUCGACUGCAUGAAGUCGGAAUCGCUAGUAAUCGCGGAUCAGCAUGUCGCGGUGAAUACGUUCCCGGGUCUUGUACACACCGCCCGUCACACCAUGGGAGUGGGUUUCACCAGAAGCCGGUCGCCUAACCGCAAGGGGGGCGCCGACCACGGUGAGA